rnacentral:rRNA from 1 species
AUGGAGGCGCUCAAUCCAGCAGCUUUGUCCAAGGAUGUGCUCGGCAGUCGAGAGAUGCCACGCCUGGGCAGGAAUACCGCGGAGCUCGAGCUCGACGCUGUAUUCGAACUCGCCGUAGCCGGCAUGAGCGAGCUUACUCCAAGGGCGAAUCGAAAGGGAGAAGCGGGGAGAUCGGAUGAAGUGGUCGUCAUUGAGACGGUCCCUGGUGGCCUGAGAGCUGAAGAGGAUCAGGAAAUCCAUCAGGCUAUUUGGUCUGUUAUGCCUGUAUUGGAUUACAUUAUCUAUGAAGCCCGGAGAAAUCAUAUUAGGUUGAUUCUUUGCCUUGUCAACAACCUUGAUAACUUUGGAGGGAAGGCCCAAUAUGUUAAGUGGGCACAAGCAGCUGGAGCUAACUUGACGAAUUCAACUGAUUCUUUUUUCUAUGACCCAACCGUUAAGGGUUACUACAAGGAUUAUGUGAAGGCAAUAUUAACUAGAAGGAACUCUUACAGUGGAAUCAGAUACUCUGAUGAACCUGCUAUUUUUGCUUGGGAACUCAUGAAUGAGCCUAGGUGUGUGUCCAACUCAUCUGGUCCUCAUCUUCAGGCUUGGAUAGCAGAGAUGGCAGCGUAUGUCAAGAGUCUGGACGCUAAACAUCUUGUUGCAGUAGGAAUUGAAGGGUUUUAUGGCACUGGAAUAGCUGAGAGGCUGGGUUUUAAUCCUGGGGACUGGGCAGCUUCACUCUGCUCAGACUUCAUACAGAACUCGGCAGUUGAGAAUAUUGAUUUUGCAUCGGUGCAUGCUUACCCUGACAGCUGGCUACCAAAGGCAAGCAUGGAAGAAAAACUCAGAUACCUUUCCAGUUGGGUUGAUUCACACCUUAAUGACAGCGAACACAUCUUGAAAAAACCUGUUCUGUUCUCAGAAGUAGGUUACCUGCAGCAUGUAGAGGGCAACAGCACAGUUGAUAGAGAUAUUCUUCUAAGAGUUGUUUACGACAAAAUCUAUGAUUCAGCGAGGAAGCUUCAGGCAGGCGGGGGUGCUCUUAUUUGGCAGUUGAUGGUCGAAGGAACACACAUGUACCACGACGACUUCUCCCUGGUGGCACGCGAUCAUCCCUCGACUUAUAAGUUGAUAACGGAGCAGUCUUGUCGAUUGCAAAUGCUGUACGAGAAUGAUAGAGACCCUGACUGGCAAUGUGCGAUACAGCCCUAG